UAGCUCUUUAACAAUUUGGAAAGCUGACAAAACGAUCUUUAAGAUUGUUUGUAAAGUUCUCAAUGUUUGUCUUUAAGACAAACACCAAAAAACACAUUCAAGUGUUCUUGGGAAUAUCACUUUUACAGUGAUUAUUCGAAAUUGAGUCCGGCAAAAUCGAUAUGUCUCUCGUUCAUUCAAAUAAUGAGAGACAACUUUGGUGAUUUGAACAUCAACUCGAAACUCCUUCGGGUUGUAU
rnacentral:misc_RNA from 1 species